AGGGAUGUAGCUCAGUGGUAGAGCCAUUGUCUAGAACGUAUGAGGUCCUGGGUUCUAUCCUCAGCACCCCAA
rnacentral:tRNA from 1 species